rnacentral:sRNA from 1 species
AGCAUAUAAUUAAGCGGAGGAAAAGAAACUAACUAGGAUUCCCUCAGUAACGGCGAGUGAAGCGGGACUAGCUCAGGAUGUGAAUCUGCGCUUUUAUGGCGCCGAAUUGUGGUCUGUAGACUUUGACAUUAUUUGCCGGGCCAAGUUCCUUGGAAAAGGACAGCUGAGAGGGUGACACUCCCGUCCGCCUGGUAAAGUGAGUCAUUUGUCAACGAGUCGAGUUGUUUGGGAUUGCAGCUCUAAUUUGGUGGUAAAUUCCAUCUAAAGCUAAAUAUUGGUGGGAGACCGAUAGCGUACAAGUACCGUGAGGGAAAGAUGCAAAGAACUUUGAAAAGAGAGUUAAAGAGUACCUGAAACUGCUGAAACGGAAGCGAAGGAAACCAGUGUUUGUUUGUUCAUAUUUCCCUGGCCACUUGUGGUCUGGGCGCUGUGGACUUGCGUGAGUUUGGGUUGGUUGAUCCCUUUGGAAGAGCGCAGUCAGAGUUGAUGUCUGUUGCUAGCACUGGGUUUGACUGAUGCAGACGAAAUGGUUUUCUUUACCCCGUCUUGAAC